AUUGAACGCUGGCGGCGUGCUUAACACAUGCAAGUCGAUCGGUAACAGGUGUAGCAAUACAUGCUGACGAGAGGCGGACGGGUGAGGAACGCUUGGGAAUCUGCCUAUCAGCGGGGGACAACCCGGGGAAACUCGGGCUAAUACCGCAUACGCUCCACGGAGGAAAGCCGGGGACCGCAAGGCCUGGCACUGAUAGAUGAGCCCAAGCCGGAUUAGCUAGUUGGCGGGGUAACGGCCCACCAAGGCGACGAUCCGUAGCUGGUCUGAGAGGACGAUCAGCCACACUGGGACUGAGACACGGCCCAGACUCCUACGGGAGGCAGCAGUGGGGAAUAUUGGACAAUGGGCGAAAGCCUGAUCCAGCGACGCCGCGUGGGUGAAGAAGGCCUGCGGGUUGUAAAGCCCUUUCGGUAGGGACGAAAGCUCUUGCCCUAACACGGCAGGAGGUUGACUUAACCUACAAAAGAAGCACCGGCUAACUCUGUGCCAGCCGCCGCUGUAA
rnacentral:rRNA from 1 species